rnacentral:rRNA from 1 species
AGCGAACGCUGGCGGCAGGCCUAACACAUGCCAGUCGAACGAACUCUUCGGAGUUAGUGGCGGACGGGUGAGUAACACGUGGGAACGUGCCUUUAGGUUCGGAAUAACUCAGGGAAACUUGUGCUAAUACCGAAUGUGCCCUUCGGGGGAAAGAUUUAUCGCCUUUAGAGCGGCCCGCGUCUGAUUAGCUAGUUGGUGAGGUAAGGGCUCACCAAGGCGACGAUCAGUAGCUGGUCUGAGAGGAUGAUCAGCCACAUUGGGACUGAGACACGGCCCAAACUCCUACGGGAGGCAGCAGUGGGGAAUCUUGCGCAAUGGGCGAAAGCCUGACGCAGCCAUGCCGCGUGAAUGAUGAAGGUCUUAGGAUUGUAAAAUUCUUUCACCGGGGACGAUAAUGACGGUACCCGGAGAAGAAGCCCCGGCUAACUUCGUG